AUGAAGUUCCUGCUAGCUCUGUGUCUGGUUACCAUGCAUCUCAAGGAUCUGAAGACAGGGAAGGUACUUGGGACUGGCACCGAGCGUGAUGGUUUGUACUACCUCGACAAUGUUGCAGCCCCGCUUGCACUUGCUGCAUGUACCUCAUCCACAGAUGAGUUGCUAUUACUUCACUGCAGACUUGGUCAUUUGUCUUUCCAUGUUUUAUCUCGUGUAUUUCCUUCUCUUUUUGCUUCCUGCUACAAGGAUAAGCUUGUAUGCGAUGCAUGUGAACUUGCUAAGCAUACAAGGGCCACGUAUCCUACUAGUAGUGAAAGAAGUCAAACUCCCUUUGAGAUUAUUCACUCGGAUGUUUGGGGUCCUUCCGUCACAACCUCUCUUUUGGGAGAUUGUUGGUUUGUAACCUUUAUGAUGGUUUUAGUCGAUGUACUUGGCUUUAUCUACUGA
rnacentral:rRNA from 1 species